AUGGACAUGGCAGUCCCUGCUCAGCUACUGGGCCUCCUGCUGCUCUGGCUGCCAGGUGCCAGAUGUGACAUCCGGAUGACCCAGUCUCCAUACCUGUCUGCAUCACUAGGAGAAAAAGUCACUAUCACUUGCCAGGCCAGUCAGGGUAUUAGUGAUUACUUGAACUGGUAUCAGCAGAAAUCAGGGAACGCCCCUAAACGUCUAAUCUACCGGGCAACCAAUUUGGACUCUGGAGUCCCAUCAAGGUUCAGCGGCAGUGGGUCUGGGACAGAUUUCACGUUCACCAUCAGCAGCCUGGAGCCUGAAGAUGUUGCCACUUAUUACUGUAUGCAGUAUGAUGAGCUCCCUCCCACAGUGAUAUAA